rnacentral:rRNA from 1 species
UUGGCUCUCGCAUCGAUGAAGAACGCAGCGAAAUGCGAUAAGUAAUGUGAAUUGCAGAAUUCAGUGAAUCAUCGAAUCUUUGAACGCCCCUUGCGCUCCUUGGUAUUCCGAGGAGCAUGCCUGUUUGAGUGUCAUUAAAUUCUCAAUCCUUUCUGGGUUUAUUCUCAGCUAGGCUUGGAUAUGGGGGUUUUGCUGGCUUUGUACAGACAAAGUCAGCUCUCCUGAAAAACAUUAGCAAGACUGUUGUUGCAACCUUCUAUCUGGUGUGAUAAUUAUCUACAUCAUAGAUUGUAUGCAGUUUAUUAUGUCUGGCUUCUAACAGUCCAUUGAAUUGGACAAAACCUAUGACAAUUUGACCUCAAAUCAGGUAGGACUACCCGC